AUUUUUAUCUGGUGGCUGCUUCUAUUGGAUUGUUGGGUGAGCCUUGCUCCUUGAGAAAAGUUUUGAGUUGUGCUCUGGAACAGGAUGUACAGCUGGAUCUAGAACAGUUGCCAAAGAGGUGUCCAUGGGCAAACGGUGCUGGAUUUCCCAGGUGGAGAUCAUGAAGUUCCUUGCCUCCUUGCAAAGUGUUCUCAUAUUAUUCUUAUACAGCGUUGUAUGUUACUGCUGUACUAAGAUUUUUACUACAAAUCCAUUAUCUGUUUCCCAAAGGUAAUGGUGAUGCUGAGAAGCAUGCCUCAUGAUGACUUACACAUCCCUCAUGCUUCAUAUUAAUUCUUCCUUUGGGUCAAAAGUAGACUGAAAUUCUUGAAACCUUGCCUGGGAAUCCUGCUGUUGCUAAAAUGGUUCAGCCGUGGUGCCUGUGGUCAGAAUACCUUGUGGCAGACCCUGGCACUGGCUGUGAAUGAAAGAACUGACGACAAAUUGCUCAAUAUCGAAAGCGAGCCAGUACAUACUUACAAGCCUUGGGUGAGCCAGAUGGAAUCUAAGAGGGGGAGGCCGGGUAGGAAAGCUGUUACUAUGAUGUUUCUUAGAAGACUUGCACGGCUGUUUUGCAUUGCUCUGUUAAUUGUUCCAAGGCACCCUUGGCUUCACUGUGUGCAAUUCAUACCAUGUUUUUUCAUCACCUCAGAUGCUGGCUGAAACAUGUAUAUACAUGUGUAUAUAUAAAUGUAUACACAUACACAUUAAAAAAAAAAAAAAAAAGCAUGACAACAACUUGCUGGUUAUGUAUUCAUUUAUU
ensembl:lncRNA